CAUUCAAAAAAACAGUGGAUCAAAUAAAAUAAAAUAAAUACCAAUAAUUCAAUAAAAGAAAAGGUUUCAAAAAAUGUAUAUAUUCGCUUUGCUUUUUAUUUUUUAGACUUUUAAUAGUUUCAAAAUAAUUUCCUAAUUCCGUUCUAAAAAAAAUGCUGUUGGGUUUAUUGUUUGCCCAUUUUUGUUUGUGGAGGUAAAAUGUUCCAUAUAUAAUCAAUAAGUUGAUUAACAAGUGUUUCUCUACACAGUUACUUUUAUAAUACAAAAAUAUAUCCUUACCAGGCCCUAGCCUUGUUCGCCACAAGAACGGACAGGCUCAUGACGUCAAAAUACCGCGGGAGCGAUUAGAGAAAUCAUAUGCAGGAGUUUAAUUUCGACUUGCUCUCGCGGUACUUUGAGGUCAUCCUCCUGUCAGUUCCAGUCUAGUCGCGCCGCAUCGAAUAGCAUUACCUGUGUGUACUGUGUAGUAUUUGUGUGAAUUGUUGUGCUUUGCAUUUAAUUACUACAGUCACAUAUACAUCAUAAUCAAGUCGAAGUUAUAGUCUCAAAUCAAGACAGCUGAAUGAGCAUGCAGGAAGAUGUGAGCGUAAUGACCCCGGCGAUGGUGACAAAGCCUAAUUGGUCACGGAGACCAGUGGCUAAUGAGCUGAGAAAAUGAGCCCAUGGGCAGGGGCCAGUGCAUCUGUGAGGCAGAGUUGUGGUGGUCAGGAAGACGUGCUUUACGACUCCACACAUAGGGCGGGAGAAAUCGAGCUUACGGUUUUGGAUGGCAUUACUUAGGCAUGAGGGGGUUUUGUUUAAAAUGGUGGAGAAAGAAAGAGACAUUAGGAUGUAAUUGAGAAUGAUUGAGAUGUGAUUUUUCAUUUUAGUGCAACUACAAUUGUUUUGACACAGUGAUUUUUGUAGGAAAGCCUCACAGUACUCUUAAAUUGUUCUGUUGA